rnacentral:rRNA from 1 species
CCCUUAGAUGUUCUGGGCAGCACGCGCGCUACAAUGGUCUUCGCAAACGGAUGCAUUCUCGAAGGAGAAUGCCAAUCUUGGAAUCUAUGCCUUGGUCGGGACAGUUGCUUGCAAUUUUUCGACUCGAACCAGGAAUUCCUUGUAAUCGUGAUUCAUCACAUCACGAUGAAUACGUCCCUGCCCUUUGUACACACCGCCCGUCGCUCCUACCGAUCGAAGAGUUAGGUGAAUUGUUUUGAUCUAUAAGAUUUGACUAUGGUCAACUCUCGUUGUGAAAUUCUGUGAAUCUGACUGUUUAGAGGAAGGAAAAGUCGUAACA